rnacentral:tRNA from 1 species
GGCUCAAUGGUCUAGUGGUAUGAUUCCUGCUUCGGGUGUUUGCCCUUCCAUCAAACAUGGGGAUGCAGGAGGCCCCGGGUUCGAAUCCCGGUUGAGCCC